rnacentral:tRNA from 1 species
GACGGGCUAAUCUAAAUUAAGACAGCUGAUUUCGACUCAACUAAUUAUGGUUCAACCCCAUAGCCCCUCU